rnacentral:rRNA from 1 species
GGCGCACGGUAGAGUAAUGCCUAGGAAUCUGCCUGGUAGUGGGGGACAAUGUUCGGAAACGGACGCUAAUACCGCAUACGUCCUACGGGAGAAAGCAGGGGACCUUCGGGCCUUGCGCUAUCAGAUGAGCCUAGGUCGGAUUAGCUAGUUGGUGAGGUAAUGGCUCACCAAGGCGACGAUCCGUAACUGGUCUGAGAGGAUGAUCAGUCACACUGGAACUGAGACACGGUCCAGACUCCUACGGGAGGCAGCAGUGGGGAAUAUUGGACAAUGGGCGAAAGCCUGAUCCAGCCAUGCCGCGUGUGUGAAGAAGGUCUUCGAAUUGUAAAGCACUUUAAGUUGGGAGGAAGGGCAGUUACCUAAUACGUAUCUGUUUUGACGUUACCGACAGAAUAAGCACCGGCUAACUCUGUGCCAGCAGCCGCGGCAAUACAGAGGGUGCAAGCGUUAAUCGGACUUACUGGGCGUAAAGCGCGCGUAGGUGGUUCGUUAAGCUGGAUGUGAAAUCCCCGGGCUCAACCUGGGAACU